rnacentral:rRNA from 1 species
GUGGGGAAUAUUGGACAAUGGGCGAAAGCCUGAUCCAGCCAUGCCGCGUGUGUGAAGAAGGUCUUCGGAUUGUAAAGCACUUUAAGUUGGGAGGAAGGGCAGUAAGUUAAUACCUUGCUGUUUUGACGUUACCGACAGAAUAAGCACCGGCUAACUUCGUGCCAGCAGCCGCGGUAAUACGAAGGGUGCAAGCGUUAAUCGGAAUUACUGGGCGUAAAGCGGGCGUAGGUGGUUUUGUAAGUUGGAGGUGAAAUCCCCGGGCUCAACCUGGGAACUGCCUCCAAAACUGCAUGACUAGAGUACGGUAGAGGGUAGUGGAAUUUCCUGUGUAGCGGUGAAAUGCGUAGAUAUAGGAAGGAACACCAGUGGCGAAGGCGACUACCUGGACUGAUACUGACACUGAGGUGCGAAAGCGUGGGGAGCAAACAGGAUUAGAAACCCGUGUAGUCC